CAUUCUUUUUUUUCCAUUGUAUUUUUAUUUUCUCUUUUUAUUGAUAAUGAAAGUUGAUAGUCUUUGUUUGAAAUGGAAAUUGCUUGAAUCGGUAAUAAAAUUUGUGUAAAAAAUAUUGAAAAUACAUUUUAGGGUGGAUGGGUUCUUUGAUGAUGAAGUUGGGGUGAAAAGUUUUACAUGCAUGUCAAUAUUAUGCCAGGUUUGCGCUGUAAUGUACCAAGGGUGUUUGAUAAUUUGCCUAAAUCAACUUGUUUUCCCUUUCAAGUUGUAAGUUUUGAAAAGAAAAAUGAAAUUUUGUAGCAGAAGUCUUAUUCUUGCCUUUUGUUCUUUGAUUUCAGUUACUACAUGUUAUUGACCUCACUAACUAUUAUGUUUGAACCAAAAAGUUCAGUUGUCUAAUAGGUUAAAUUGAUUUGAGCUUAAUUUCUACGCCAAAAGCUGAUAAUAUUAUUAAAGACUUAGUUCAGCAACAAGUUCCAAAGGCUCCAAAUACUGCAAAAAUCAUACUCAAAAUGCUGCAUUUCCAUGAUUGCUUUGUUAAUGGUAAUGAUGGACUGUGCUUCUUAAUUUCAUUUCAAGUUCUGCAAAUCGGAUUGAAAAUCAAGCCAAUCCUAAUUUGGCAUUGAGAGGCUUCUCAUUCAUCGAUGAUGUUAAGAGAUUUGUUGGAGCUAUGUCUUGGAGUUGUUUCUUGUGCUGAUAUUAUAGUGUUGGUUGCUGGAGAUGCACUUGUGGUUACAGUGUUCAAAAGUUGUUGUGUGAGAUCAUAUGAAUGGACUGUUGGUUUUCUGUGGUAAUAGGAAGUCCUACCCUAAAGUUUACAGCUAGCUUCCUAUCACAUAUGAAUAACAAGACUCAAUCGGACAUGAAAGGCGUCUCCAUGUUCAUGAUAUGAAGCUUACAUUUAGUAUUAUCUCUCAUUCUUGAUUUUGGUGUCUGCAUUAUCAGAUAAUAUAAUAUAUCUCACCUUCUAAUCUGUUAACUCAUUUUUCGUAAGUGCAUCUAAAGUCAUCUUACUAUGUUUACAUGGAGUAGGCGGGGGGAGAUGUAGCAACAAUAUAUAUGGAAGAGCCUAUAGGUGAAACAAGAUAUUUCGUGAGCUUAGUUUCUUUAAUUAUCUCACCAAUACAUUUGCCUUAUCUUGUGAUCAAGGAAACUGUAGAAAUUUUGCUUUGUAAGAUGAGCGUCGCCAUUACAUGAUAGCACAUAAUAGGAGUCUCACAAUAAUAACAUCAUCUAACUAUAUACUUUCUAGGUUUUGUAUUAUAAGUAUGAUUCUUUACAUUUAUCUUAUGUUUACAUACCUAACACGCAUAAUGUGUUUGAAGAAGUCCAACUUUCAAAAAGUUAAAAUUUCUUUGCAUUAUUGAAACUUGAGCAGAAAAAUCUCUAUUUUGUAUUACUUUUAAGUUCUUCCAUGGGUUUCUUAUGUUAAAUUUAGUUAUUUUACAAUUAAAAAAAAUCAUAUUGUGCUUGCUAUCACUGAAUAGAUUCAACGUUCGAGAAAAAAAAAAUGAAGAAGAAUAUGAAAAAAUGAUCGUGACAAAGGGUACCAACAGGACAAGCUUUACGAAGAGUUUAAUGGUUGUUGGUCAAAAUCUUAGCUUGUGACAGUCAUGCAGGGAGGACUUUUGAAUGGAUGGGUUGAAUUUUUCUUUGCAUCAACUAUUGAAGAUUUAUUUAGUUUUUG